rnacentral:lncRNA from 1 species
CCAAUCCAGCAUAUGGUUUAAACAAACAAAAAUAAGAUGAAAGAAAUUAUAAAAACGUUGAUAAACCAAAAUGGCAACAUAUUAUGUCUUCAACACUAGAAAUCAAAUGCAGAAACUAAGAUUUCAUCUUCAAUAAACACUAGCUUCUCUGAGUCAGACUAGGCUUCUACUUUCUCCACAUCUUCAAUGAGAAGGGGCUUGGUUGGCCUUCCCAACAGGUCUGUGAACUCUUGGAAUGGAGAUUUGCUGAAGCGUGUCUCUUUCCAGAAUUCAGGGGUCAGAAAACCGUAAGUCUUCAGGAGGCAAUCAAAAGUAGCCUGCAAAAAAUGCAUUCACAUAAAUGAUUAGAUACAAUGCAAAUAAUACGAGAUUCAAGUAACACUUGUUCAGUCUCGUUAAAUUACAUCUUUAACUGAGGAAUUCAACCCAAACUGAAGGGUGGUGAUUAUAAAUUUUCUUUGUGCCAAAGGCAAUGGCAAAUCAAGAACUAACAUGACUACCAACGAGCAAACUAUAAUAUCAUAAAAACUGACACUCAGGGUCAAGAGGAAUGCUACUCAUUUCAAUCCAGACUACAUUGAAGUCAGAGUCAGCCCUAAACAUAACAUAUUGGUUCACAGAAGUCCUAUCUUGAAGAAGCUCUGCGACAUCACCAAUCAAAUUUAUAUAUUUAUUUAAUGCUCAUACUUCAGAGUCAGGCUGCCAGGAUCAUCAGAGGGGCCAAGGGCCAGACCUUCCAUAUCCAUUUACCAACCCAACCAUUAAAAAGUUUUCAAAGCCCGACUACGCAAAGAAUUAGAAUUUAGUGCUAUCUUGUUCAAAAAUAUUAAUGCUUCAACCGCACUUCAUUUCAAAAUGCCACUUCCAUAAUUUCCACAACCACAAUAUGCACUAAAACUUUUUGCAUUCAUGCAUCCUCAAUCAUGCUAACGCACACAAACUAAAACUGUUAAAUUAUAUGCCAAAUAAGAGAUUAUCAAGAAAAUGUAUUAGAUCUGCACAAACCAUUGCUGAAGCAUUAACCAAAGAUUUCCCACUACUAAAAACAUGCAAAACAAAAUGUUAAAGAUUGUUAAGAGCUUCCUGAGAUGGGUAGAUUUCAAUUUCAACUACACAACACUCAACUCCACAAGCUCAUCACAUUCUUCUUUCAAAUUUCAUUUGCAUAUUUCUAAGAGUAAGAACUCUUUGACCAAAUUUCAUUUGCAUAUUAUUAAUUCAAGAUUAAUAGCAUCACCAAAAGCUUCCCAACACACUCUGACACUUAUUCGGCAAACUAAACAACAUCCAAUAAAUAAUAAUAAUGUACAAACAAUCAACUAAUGUGAAAACACAAAAAAAAAAAUGAAAAUUUGGAUAGACUAGGUAUACCUUGACAAAGUUGCCAAGCGUCUUGGUGGAGCCACGGGAUGAGGUGAAAACAUCAUCAAUACCAGCAAACUGCAGGACCUUCUUGGGCACACGGGCAGCCACAAUUCCAGCACCACGGGGAGCGGGCACCAUCCUGACUGUGACAGAGCCACACUUGCCGGUCACCUUACACGGCACCGUAUGGGGCUUCCCAAUCUUGUUACCCCAGUACCCUCUCCUCACCGGAAUCACAGACAGCUUAGCCAAUAUGAUCGCGCCACGUAUCGCAGUGGCCACCUCCUUGCUGCACUUGACUCCGAGCCCGACGUGCCCAUUGCUGUCGCCUACGACAACGAAGGCUUUAAAUCGGGUUCGCUGACCGGCCCGAGUCUGCUUCUGGACCGGCAUAAUCUUCAUCACCUCAUCCUUGAGGCUACCGGAGGCGACAAGAGCAUCGAUGAUCUGGUGCUCCUUGAUGGGUAGAGAGUGGAGGUAGAUUUGCUCCAGGCUCUUGAUCUUGCCUUCCUUCACGAGGCGGCCGAGCUUGGUCACUGGGACCCACUUCUCUUCCUCCUCGCGGCGCCCGGGGCGGCGUCGGCCUCCUCCGCGGCCGCGGUCGCCUCCGCGCCCGCCGAAGCCUCGGCCGAACCCACCCCGGCCUCUCUCUGCUGGUCUCUCUGCCAUGGUUAUGUGAGAAGGGAUGAGAAGGAGAAGGAGAAGGAAGAAGGGCGACGGCUGGACCGAGAGGGUUUAGGGUUGUGGGCGAAAGGAGAUGUGGGGAUUUUAUAUCUUCACCUUUAUAGCAAAAUGUUUUUUUUUUUAACCAAAAAAAAGUUAGGUGGUUGUAAUCUCAACCGUUGGGAACAUCCAACGGCUGAAGUAAGCCCCACCAAACGAAAGAAAUAGAUUUGUGCUUCUGCAGAUUUUUUAUUUUUUAUUUUUUAUUUUUUCUGUGGGUUUUUCAUUUUCUCAAGAUUUCUCCGCUGCUCUCUCUUCUUCCUCCAGUUGAGCAAUCUAAACCUUGUAAACAGUCCGUUAACACGAUACGAAUUCGCACAAAAAAUUCAGUAUUCGGAUCUGAGUUAUUAGGUCGGAUUGACAACGGAUUAACCUAUUAGCCACUCGUUAAGCUAACAUGUCGUGUCAAUGUCAUUUGCGAAUCACCCGUUAACCCGUUAAGAACAGGGGUACUUUUAUAAUUUUACAUGAGUUUCCCUUUAAAAAAGUGAAAAUAUCUGAAUCCAAGAAGGGAAUUCGAACCCCUACCAACACAUUCUCAAAGAAACCACCUUUACCCACUUGGUUGUAUGCAAUUGUUUUAAGGACAAACUACAGUAAACUCUCCAACCUAUAGGGUCAUUUAUGAGUUCAUCUCCGAUUUUGGGGACAUUUACCAGUACAUACUCAACGUCACAGAAACUCUACAAUUUGCCCCCUCCAUUAGUCAAACUGUUAGUCAGUCUGUAAAAUGAUGAUCUGUCAAAAGUGGGACCCCUUUUUUUAAUGACGUGGACUUCCAUGUGGACUAAAAAUUAAUAAAAAAAUUAUUUUACUGUUUAAAUUAUUUAUUAUUGUUAAAUUAAUUCAAAUUUUAAAAAGCAAAAUUAAAUUAAAAAAUAAAAAUCUGGCAAACAUCAAAGGAAAAAAAUUUAUCUUCGUCUGUUUCUCUUCCCAACCCCAACCCACCCUCCCUCCGUGCACACUGCCUUCAAAGCCAUCGCCACCGACCUCGUUGUCGUUGUAUAGAACCAAGGGCAAGAUCUUCAUCCUCAUCAACUGCCUCUCCCCUUCCCACCUCCCUUAACACCAAAACCCAACAGCCCCCACCACCUUACCUCUGGGUCCAAGAUCCAUGAGGGGUAGAGGUGGAAUCGAGACCUUGAGCUCCUUCCUCCUCUGUUGACAUACAAAGAUUCUUGAAUUCCAGUCUAUUUAUUUAUUUAGUUUUUUAAUUCUUAACGGGUCGUGUCAUGUGAUUCCCGAAUUAUAACGGGUCGUGUUCAGGUCUAAUAUUUUUCACCUGUUAACUAACAGGUCGUGUCGUGUCAACCCGUUAACUUAAUGGGUUAACACAAACACGAUUUGAAACCCGCAAACACGACCGAUUUGACAGGUUUAGAGUAAUCUUGUCACUAGGUUUUCCUUUCUCACUCUUUCGUUUAUUUGGUUUUUUUUUUUUUUUUUUUUUUUGUUCCAACAAAACACAGAAAGAAGAAAACUCAAUAUAGUGAUCAAAGUAAACGAGUAAUUGUGUCCAAUCUUGGUGCCAUUUAUUGGUAUUAUUUUUGCAUUUUGCAGGUGGUAUUGAUGAAGCACAGAACCAUGAUUUUUUCAAUGGAUGGGCUAGCUAUACUUAUUAGCUAAAAAUCUAAUGAUCAUUGUUUUUGUACUCUUACAAUUUCUAUAGUAUUUUAUAAACAAAAUAUAUAUUAAAUCAUAUAAACUACGUUAGUUCAUGACCACACUUGACACUUGCUUUUGGCAAAGUCAAAGGGACUUGUCUCAUGAAAUUAUUGAACUUAUAUAUAUAAUCAAUACAUUAAAUGCACUAUAGAAUUUUGAUGUUGUAAUUAUCAUCCAAGAGAGCAAAAUGAUAAUGGAUUGAGGUUAGGGAGAAUUGUUGAGACAGUUAACGAAACUGCAUUGUGUUUUGUUAUUGGUAGAUUUGUACGGAUGGAAGAGAGGAAGCGAGCACUUGUGAGCCGGUUGCUUCAAUAUGCUCUUGUAAACGAAGUUUUGGCAAUUCCCUAUGAUGAAAUUGGUUUUGAUGGAGAUCCGAAUAUGUAUUAAGGUCGCAGAAUACAACAUUAGUAUCUUGUUCUGCAUACUAUAAGAGCUAAAAUAUGAAACAUAAUAUGAGAAUAUUUGUUUUGUGUAUUCUUCUCCUUGUAGGAGGUCAUAUUUAUAAUACAAUGGAACUCUAAUGGCCCUGGUUGCUAACCAAACAUUGGAAGAAGGUUGGUAGUCUGCCUCUUGCCGAAGAUGUUGGAAAAUGGAAGCUAUAUGGCUUGGACUUAAAUGAUCUGCCAAUUGAGCAGGAGGAGUUCUCGACCAAGCUCCCAAAAGAGAGGAAGCCUAACAGUAAAUUCGCUCUCGAUGAAGCCGCAGUCUCAAUAUCAAGGGAUACGUCCCCCCAGCGAAAGCAGCCAGACCUUUUUUGCCACGAGCAAGUCUUUCUCAACGUUGUUUCGUCGGCUGAGAAGGUCCCUAUUGGAGUUGCUCCUGCCUCAUCUACCGGGAUCAAGUGCCUCAUUAGUGUGAGUAGGAAAAAGGUUAGUGGCAUGCAAAAUGUCCGGGCUAUUCCGCUCAAGUCUCCACCCGAACUACCCAAAACCUGUGAUCUGCUUUGUAAGGAGGCCGCUGAGAAGCAAGGUUUGGGUCAUCUGCGCCAAUCCAAGGAUCAAAAUGAGAUGACUAUGCCUCUGCAUAGCAACCAUGAGUCGUUUGCGAGACCACGAGCAGUCAAGCAUGAAGCCGACUCAAUGUUGCAAGUUGCAACCAAGAGAGCUAAAGAGUCGUCUACUCGAACAAAGAGUCAUUCAGUUGCGCUCACUGCCGAUCUGGGGGUGGUGAUAGCUCAGCUGGUCAUGUUGGACACUCAUGUUGAAGCCACAAUAGCGUCCAAGAAUGAGAUUGCUGCUAACACAUAUAAGUUAGGAUAUUUGGACUGUAUGAACGAUGCUUCUCCUUGUUUCCCUCUCAAACAUAAAGAUGGUGAGCAGCUCUAUCUUGACCUGCCCCCUGCUCAAAGUGAUCAAAUCAAUGUUGUGGAUGUAGAAGCAAUUGAAGAGCAGGUAGCCGACGAAGUUGCAAUAGAGGAAGACAAUGCCAAAUGUGUUGCAGCUAAUGAGGUUAGGGCAAAUGCAGAGGAGUAGGCAACUGGGGCUGUAGAGCAGAUGGUGCUGAUUUAGUAGAAUGAGGCUGUUGUUUGUGGGGUUCAUCAAGAGGUAGCUGAGGGUGUGAUCGGCUAAGGGUCAUGUGUCAAAGUCCCUUAGUGGAUGUGGUCCUUUUUUUGCUAUUUUUGAACUUUGUAAUUUUUUUUUUCUUCAAUAAGUGGUCUUCAGUCGACCACCUUAUUUCUUGUUGAACUUAGCUAGUUGGGCACUUUGCUAUGGAAUUUUCACUUGUCUUUCAAACUUCAAUUCGCAUUAUAUCUUGUGAGUGUAUGUCCAGAGAUAUAGCGCUUGAAAGAGGCUCUGUUAGAGAGAAAAAAAAUUGUGAACCUCCCAACAUAAUUUCACCUCCACUAAUUAAAUAAUGGGGUCUUAUUAUUUUAGGUUCGACUCAUUCAAGACGCAAGUCUCUUAUAUUACAAUCUCUUGCUUCAAGGGAACACCUUUUGAUUCCAUCAUAAAGAAACAGAACAGAUGUCUUUGGUUUCGUAGCUACUCCCAAGUCCAACCUUAGGGUGCCUACAUAUCCCUCGCGGGAAUCAAACCACUCGUAGUUCAAAGAUUUGCAAUGAUAAAUGACUCAUUGAAAAAAGGGGAUUUGUAUGAAUUUGAUUGAAAAAGUGUUUGAGUGAAUUUAGCUGAAUAAAUUAGGGAUUCAAUUUUGAUAUGACAUUGUGUUUGGAAGGCAAAUUUGGUUAAAGAAAUAAACCAGGGAUUCUGGUCAGAUUUAAGAUUUGGAAAUUAACAGGUAAAUGUGGCCCACUAAUCAAGAAUUUGUGUUUGGAAAUUUGAAUUGAAAUUGGCAUGGGUAGAUGACCCAUGAAACGUUGGAUGGUUUGUACCAUUUUUCUUAUUGUCAAUGUCCAAAAAAAAUAAUGAGCAAUUUUGAUUAACAUACUAAUUUUUUCUUAAAUUGACAUUUGCACUUGGGAAAGUGUUUUCUCGAAUUUUGGUUAUGAUAAACCAUGGAUUCAGAUUUGGUUGCGGUUGCGUCUAUUGGGAUGCUAGACUGCCUACGUACCCUUGACGGGAUCAAACCGAUGUAGUUCCAAAUUUAUAAAUUAAUGGGUAAGUGUGGCCCACUAAUUUAGAAUUUGUGUCUUUGAGACGAUUUGAAAAUUUUCAUAGGUAGAUAACCCAAGGGAAAAAUUGGAUGGUUUUGUACCAUUUUUCAUUGUCAAUAUCAAAGAAAACUAAUGGGCAAUUUUGAUGAACCCACUAAUUUAAUUUGAUCAUUAGCAAAUGCAUUUGUAUCCAUGAAUUAUUUGAAGGAUUUGAAAUGAAUGGGCUUUUGUGAUUGAUAAACCCGUUAAUCCAUAUUAAUGCUCCUUUGGUGUCUUUUGAAAUUGAGCUUGAUGCUCGACACAUGACCAAUCAUUUAUUUGGAUUGGAGUAACCAUCACAACAUGGUUUGAGUCGCUUAUCACUCCUUUCUAAAUAGCUUCCUUGCCACAGUGGUUGAUUCCCAAAUUUCUUGUUGAGAUUUUGUGGGCAUGUUUGAUAGCCAUCUUGCAUUUGAGAAUCGAGGCAGGUAGAACCGAAUGCCAUAAACAUUUUAUUAAGCCUCGAUCGUUAAUUGAUAUAGUUCUUGUGAACCUUUGUUGACACUCUUCGCGACUUCCUAAUUGUCAUUGACAAUGGAAUUUUGCUUCUGCCAUGGUAACUUAUGUUGCAAACCUCAGAGUGAAAUGUCCAUCUUUGCCAUCUUGGCUUUCUAUGUUAAAUCAGCAACUUGAAGGCUUAAUAAAGAACACCAUUUGGUUUAGGAACAAGUGCUAAUUGAAAACCAUUUGCUUGCCGCGAGGAGAGAACAAUUCUUGAUAAUUUAUUUGGUCGAAGUUUGAAAUUAAAUGUCUCCAGUUUUGUCAGCCUGUUAAUUGUUGAUUGCCCCUUUCCACUGAUUCAUGUGGGAUGUGUUCAUUCCAUAAGACUUGACCAUUUGGUUUGCCAUCUGACGUGGACCAAAUCUCCUUGGGUUCUUCAAAUUGUCAUGAUCCUUGAAAACUAUUUAAAGAUAUUUGGUAAAUAGGCCAAUCCUGCAGCAAAGUAAUUUGAGAAAGUUGGACCCUUCAAGCUUUGGUUUGAGAAUUUGGUCUUUGCACAAAUUAUUCACCAAUUGGAAUGUUUAAUGGACAAUCCCAUUGUGCCUGAGACGAGAACGUUGCAUUUUAGACCAUCGAGUUUUGGAAUAUUGACUUGAUAUUGUCGGGUCUUGAGAGAGAUGUGCACUAUGCUAGUCCCAAUUAAUUUUUUAUUAGUGCCUUUGCUCCAACUGGUUCUUUUACUGCUUGGUGCCAAAAGCAAAUGCCUUUCAAUUUGAUCAAGACACCCAAGGACAAAAAUCCUUCUCCAAGUGAAGUAUGAAUUAGCCUCCUUAUCGCAUUGGAACCCUUUGAGGAUCCGGGGAAGCUGUAAGCCCCUUGUCCAUACAGGAUUAGGCAAUAUGUAAUUUCCUUUAAAAGGACAUGUGCACCGCAACUUCAAGGAACCAGCAAACAAAGCGAUAACUUCUGAUAUAUUUGCUUUUCUAGACCAGCUUGUAUGAUAACAGAAAGGAAGGAGAAGAGUAUUUCAGAAAAAGAGAAAUAGAGAAGACUAAAGAAUUUCUGAGAUUUUGAUUAUGCACUGUAUAUCCUUUACAAAGCAUAGCCCACUCUUAUAUGUAAACAGAUUACAGAGGAGCUUAACUAACUAACCACACAGCUUAGCUGUCUAACUAAUACACGUGCUAGGUACCAGACUUGUAACAAACUUACUGACUAGCUAACCAUAGUUAACAUACUAACCAUAGUUAACAUUUUCCCUACUUAGGUAACUCUCUUAACCUAAGAUGAGCACAAUGCUGUGAGAAGAUAGGACCAUGUAAACCCUUUGUAAAAACAUCAGCAAGUUGUUCAUCUGUUGAAACAUAUUGAACCAGCAAAUCCUUCUUCUGCACUCGCUCCCUGACAAAAUGGAAAUCAAUGUCCAAGUGUUUAAUUCGGGAAUGAAAUACUGGAUUUGAGCUAAGAGCCAACGCAGACAGAUUAUCACAAUAUGCAACUGGAGGAUCUGGCAGAUACAACUUUAAGUCUUGUAAAACCUGUCGAAUCCAAGCCAAAUCAGCAGUAGUAUUGGCUAAAGCCCUAUACUCUGCCUCUGUAGAACUUCUUGAAACAGAGCCCUGUUUCUUUGAUUGCCAAGAUAUAGGAUUGCUGCCCAAAAAUAUCACAAAACCUGUUGUAGACCUGCGAGUGUUGAUGUCUCCUGCCCAGUCGGCAUCACUAUAUGCAGAGAGAUUCAUAUCACCAGCUGUAAAACUCAGGCCAUAUUCUAGAGUACCUUGAACAUAUCUUAGAAUCCUUUUCACCAAAUGCCAAUGAAGAUCAGUAGGUUGAUUCAUGUAUUGGCAAACUGAGUUGACAGAAUAAGCAAGAUCAGGUCUUGUAAAAGUCAAAUAUUGGAGAGCCCCUACAAUGCUCCUAAACAAUGUUGGAUCAGUUAAUACUUCCCCGGAAUCUUUUAACACCUGCGUAUGUGGUUUACAUGGAGUUGAACAGGCUCGACAAGAGUCCAUCCCAGCUUUGUGAAGCAACUCUUUAGCAUAUUUGGACUGAUUAACAAAAAUAUCACCAUUAGAGCCAUAGGAUACUUGCAAGCCGAGAAAGAAUUUAAGCUUACCCAAGUCCUUCAUUUCAAAUACAGAGCUUAACUCAUCAACUACAAGCUGAACCAUCUUCUCAUUAGAACCUGUGAGAAUAAUAUCAUCAACAUAGAGUAAGAGAAUCACAACCUCAGAGUUGGAAUGUCUGACAAAGAGACUAGGAUCAGACUGUGAAGGUUGAAAACCUAUGGCUGGUAAGUAUCCGGUGAAUUUGGCAUUCCAAGCCCUUGGAGCUUGCUUCAAACCAUACAAAGAUUUCUUAAGCUUACAUACAAAAUCAGGAUUACUUGGAUCUGCAAACCCUUGUGGCUGUUUCAUAAACACCUCUUCCUCCAAAUCACCAUGUAAAAAUGCGUUCUUAACAUCAAGUUGUCUCAACUGCCACUUAUUCAUUGCAGCUAGACUUAGUAUUAACCUGACAGUGGUGUGGCGCACUACAGGACUGAAAGUUUCACUAAAAUCCAAGCCUUGCUCUUGGCUAAAUCCCUGAGCUACCAACCGAGCUUUAUGCCUAGCUAUAGAACCAUCAGAAUUUCUCUUUAUCUUGUAAAUCCACUUACUACCAACAAUGUUUUUAUCUCCAGGAUUAGGAACUAAACUCCAAGUUCCUUGCAUAUGCAAGGCAUCAAUUUCUUCUUGCAUGGCUUGUUUCCAUUGUGGAGAAAAUGAGGCUACCUUAUAGUUUGCAGGUUCAUCCAAUUCAAUAUGAGCAUUCAAACAUGUAUAAUACCCCACAUAGUCAGGAAAUUGUUUCUUCUGAACUAUGCCAUCCCUAAGUCUAGUAUGCAUGGGAUGAGCAUUAAUAGGAUUAAUAGGUAAGGAAGUACCCGAAGUUGAAUGCUCAUGAGGAGGUGAAAGUGUCAAAUGAUGAUCACUUAAAGGGGAAUGAUGUACCUCUGAAGCAAGAAUUGAAUCGGAUCCACCUAAUGGUUGCACAGAAGGAGAAGAUGAUGGUGAAGGAGCUGAUGGUGUGACUGUGGUAACCUGAGGUGUAACUUCGUGCAAAGGCAAAGAAACAAGAAUAUGUGGUGCCGCUGCUUGAGGUGUACAAAAAACAGGCGUUGAACUGUGCAGUAAUGACUUGAAAGGCCAAACUGAUUCAUCAUGAAUCACAUGUCUGGAGAUGACAAUCUUGUUAGUGACAAUAUUAUAACACAAAACACCUUUAUACCCUGAAGAAUAUCCCAAAAAAACACAUUGAGUGGUGCGAGGUUGAAACUUAUGCACAUUAUAAGGUCUGAGAUAUGGAUAUACAGCAGUGCCAAAUAUUCGUAAAGAUAGUAACUCUGGUUGCUUGCCAUACAAUCGAAAAUAAGGAGCUUGAAGCUUUAAGGACUGACUUGGCAUUCUAUUUAUUAAGUAGACAGCAUGUGCAAUAGAAUGAUACCAAAACUGUCCAGGCAUAUUAGCAGCAGUCAGAAGAGUUAGAGCAGUCUCCACAACAUGUCUGUUUUUCCUCUCAGCCAUACCAUUUUGCUGUGGGGUGUAUGGACAUGUAAACUGAUGCAAAAUACCAUGACUGGCAAGGAAGUCAGUAAAUGGUUUGCUAAUAUACUCGCCACCACCAUCACUCUGAAAAAACUGAAUUCGAGCAUUAAAUUGAGUCCGAACCAAAGCAAAGAAUUUGAGAAAGUUGGAGAACACCUCAGAUUUAUUAAUAAGGGGAUAUAUCCAUACAAAGCCAGUACACUCAUCUAAGAAGAGUACAAAAUAUCGAAAGCCAUGAAUGGACUUAAAAUGGGAAGGCCCCCAGACAUCACUGUGUAUCUUAGAAAAAGGAAUAUCUGUCUUAACAUGACUACUUGAAAAAGGCAGCCUGUGCAUCUUUCCUUGAAGACAUGAAGGACACAAAUCAAACUGUGCAUCCCCUAAAACAACCAUGUUGGACUCUGUAAGCAUAAGCUUCACCACCUCAUUCGUUGGAUGACCCAAUCUCUGAUGCCAUGUAGUAGAACUCACACGCUGACCAAGAUAAGCAGUUGGACUAGAAAGCGAGAACCGAGCGGACGGAACUUUACAAGGAAUAGGAUAUAAGCCAUUACGGCUAGAGCCCUUUAGCAGUAUUGCCUUUGUUGUCUUGUCCUGUAUACAGAAACCAGUAGAAUCAAAGCUUAUGAUACAAUGAUUAUCUCUGCAUAACUGAUGUACAGAUAAAAGAUUGGCAGAGAGCUUUGGAACAUGAAAAACAGAAGGCAUUUUAAGAGAAGUAGAAGCAGAAGACAAAGCAGUAGUGCCAAUAUUUGUUAUAUUCAAACCUUCCCCAUUCCCCACAGUCACUUGAUCAGUGGACUCACAGGGGCGAACAUCAUGCAGAGUAGAUACAUCAACAACCAUAUGAUGGGAAGCUCCACUGUCUGCAAUCCAAACAUGUUCUGUCAUCUCUUGGUCCAAAGGAGUUGGCAUUGGAUCAUAACCAUGUGUAGGCAUAUAAGAACUGUGAGCUGCCAUAGCAGAGAUAGUGGAUGGAGGAGCCUGACCUUGAUAGACAUAAUUUGAGCGAUGGAAGCAAUCCAAAGCACCAUGACCCUUCUUACCACAAAUUUGACAAGCUAUGAUGGAAGCAGAAAGUUUAGAACUGUCAUCACCAUGACGAUGAUAACAAUUCACGGCAGUGUGGCCACGUUUGCCACAAAUCUGGCAUUCCGGAACAACAGAGAAUUUAGAAGCUGGAGCACCAGGAAACCUGCCAUGAAAAUCAGAAUUUGGAAGCCGAGUCUGUGAAAACCGACCACGGCCAGAGACAAAACUUCUACCAGUACCAGAGGAAAAACCUCGACCAUUGCCAGAGAAUGAUUGAAAACCAGAGGUUCUAUUAUGAAAACCAGAAGCAUCAUGAGAACCCAUAUAGGCAACCGAAGGAGUGGGAAGUAAACCCAUACCAGCAGAAGAAGAACCAGGAUGCUGCAACACCUGACCGGGAGAAGACAUAUACAGAGCAUGGGGAGUGUGAAAACGAGCAUCUGCAGUCUGUUCUGCAGCAAGCAAUUGAGCACGAAAAUCUUUUAGGGAGAUCACCGAGUCACGAGCAAUGAGAACUGUCUUGAUCAUGUCAUACUCCGAAGGCAACCCAUUCAAUACGGUGAUCAUAAAAUCAUCAUCUGAAAUUGGCACCCCAGCAGAAGCCAACUUAUCACGAAUAUGUUUGAUGCGAAGAAGAAAUCGCUCAAUGGAGUCGGCACCUUUCUGAGCAGUCUGCAGCUCAGUCUUAAGAUGAUUAAUCCGAGCCCGCGAGACAGUAGCAUAGCGAUCAGAAAGUUGAAGCCAUGCCUCACGAGCGGUCUUGCUGCCAAUGACAUAUUCUAAUGCCUCAUCAGAAAGAGUAGUAAUCAGAAAACUCAAGAGAGACUUAUCAGUACGCAACCAAUCCUUAUAAGCAGCUGUGACCUCAGAAGUAACGCCAACCUCAUCCAGAAUCGCAAAUUUGGGGGGAGGAACAAGCGAGCCAUCAAAAUGACCAAAGAGAUCAUAGCCUUGGAGCAGAGAUUCAAUCUGAAAACCCCACUUAAGAAAAUUAUCAUCACCAAGACGAGUAGUAACCAUACCCAAGAGACCUUCAACCUUGAUUGUUGGAGACGACGCCAUGAGGAGUAAUAAAUCUUGAAGUGCAGCAAAACCCUAAAAGGCAAAGAAAAUCCCGAAUCGAAGACCGAAAGAAGAUGUGAAGAACAAAAUGAAGAAAUAUGAAGAAAGAAGAAUGAAUUGAAGAGUCGAAGAACAAACGAAUUGAAGAUUUGAACAAGCAGAAGAAUUGAAGAAUGGAAGAACAAACGAAAGAAUUGAAGCGGAAUGUGACAAAGGGAAGAGCGGAAGCAAAAGGAUCAAGAAGGAGCGUGAGCGAUGCUGGCUCGUGAUACCAUGAUAACAGAAAGGAAGGAGAAGAGUAUUUCAGAAAAAGAGAAAUAGAGAAGACUAAAGAAUUUCUGAGAUUUUGAUUAUGCACUGUAUAUCCUUUACAAAGCAUAGCCCACUCUUAUAUGUAAACAGAUUACAGAGGAGCUUAACUAACUAACCACACAGCUUAGCUGUCUAACUAAUACACGUGCUAGGUACCAGACUUGUAACAAACUUACUGACUAGCUAACCAUAGUUAACAUACUAACCAUAGUUAACAUUGUAGACUUCCCCAAGACAUCUGCUGCAUCAUCAAAAGAAGCAACACAUUGUUUCUUUCCUUUUGAGAUUUCACACGGUAACCCACAAACCCAUAAUCUUCCUUUUCUUCUCUUCUUCUAUUUCAAUUUUUUUUUUUCCAUGUGGCUGACUUCUCUUUUUGGAUAUGCAGAUUAAGGAGGUGUCUUGCCGUGGGCCACAUUGAGAGCUUUGAGAGCAAUUUGUCUUCUUGCUUCAGAAACCAAAGACAAAUAUAGGUUGAGUAUUUGCUUUGUGUUAUAAAUCUAGAGGAAAUUGUAGAGAAGGGAUUAAGAUAUAGAGAAAGUAUAGAAACUGAUCUCUUCAUUGAAUGUUUGUUCUCAGUCAAUUACAAUGAAGGGAGGAAGUCCACUUAUAGGCAAAGUUUCUUAGCUUCCCGUGAAUGUGUAAUGAUGCCUUCCCACAGUACUUUCAUCAUGAUGUUCUUCAAUCAAUUAGGUAGUGGGCUCUACCAUUUUGGGAUCCAUCCUUGACUUUACAACACUCCUCCUUGGAGACCAUAAAUGGUAUGGAAUAUGCCUCGUUAAAAACCUUACUAGUAAAAACCCAAUGGGACAAAAAACUGGUCGAAGCGAAAAAGAGUACAUAACCAUGUGUAACAUAAAAAUUCUGUGUAUAUUAACACGCGUGCGACACUGCCUCGUUAAAACCUUGCCAGGAAAAACCCAGUGGGAUAAAAACCUAAACGAAAGAAAAAGAGUACAGUGUGUGAAGGUCUUUAUUAACAGCACGCUCCCCCUGAUGCUUGGCAAAAUAUCUUUUAAGCCAUACUGUUGAUCAUCUUUCUUAAUAUCAGAGUUGACACUGCUUUUGUGAGUCAAUCUUGAGCCACACUGCCUCGUUAAAACCUUACCAGGGAAAACUCAGUGGGAUAAAAACCAAACUUCAUGACUAGCUUUUUCCAGUAAGCGACCAUAGGAAUUUUCAUAGUAUCAUCCCAAAGUGGUGGUGAUGGAGCUGAGCUCUAUCUGGUCCAGUAUACUUCCGGAAAAACAUUUAAGUGCCCAACGGAUAAUCCUCAAAAAAUGUUUCAAUACUUUCUUAGUAUAAGCAAAAAAUUUCGUUGGCACAACGCUCGAUCGUUGGGUCGAGAUAAAUAUUUCUUAAACUCUUCAGAAGCUUUAAUGUGUUACAAACACAUUAUAAUCAAUGUACUCACUGAGGCAAUUUAUGCACAUUAGUAUUGAGUACAGAUUUUGUGCUUCAGGCACAUAUCCUUCAGGGACUUGCUUCAUGCAAUUUCAAUCCUUUCAAGGAUUUUGUUUAAAGGGAUUAAACUUUAUGACACAUUAUAUAGCUUUAACACAGCUAUUUAUACAUCUUUAGGAAACCACUUCUGGUGAUAUGCUCCGUGCAUUUAAUAACCUUUAAAGAUAACAUGUUGGUCUCCGUAAAUGUGCAAUAAGGGGGCACAAUUGAAUUUGUAAAUAUGGAGAAAACCCAACAUUCCUUGUUUCUGCCAGAAACAUUGUGUCAUACAAAGUAGGUAUAUUCCCUUUUAUUCCGAACACCCAAGUAUAACUUUCAAUAUUAACAUCUUUUAGGGUUCGUACUGUGGGUUUGUUCUUUCACGUUCAUUCUCAUCUAUAAUGGAAUUGCCUCAUUCCAUUUUGGCCAAUGAUAUUGUCGACAUUUAAUAAUUGAACGUGGUUCCAAUCAACACAGCCCAUUGAUGAUUUGAGUAGCUACUCCAAAACCAAAAAUUGUCAUUCAUCAAUUCAUGAUCCCACCAUUCUCAUGUGCAUGCGUAUGCAUCAAUUAUAAGCAUUUCUUUGCCUUUGGGUACCCAAGCCACUUCAGAGGGCUUUUAUUAUGUGAGAAUGUGGAUUAUAACUUCCAAUGGAGCAUUAUUUUACAGUAGGGCGAGGAUAAUCUCCAUUUACAGAGUUGGAACAUUUAGAACCCAUAUAUCUGUCAUGCUGCAGGCAUGCCACAGAUUAAUACAUACAUGUCAAUUAAUUUCUGGGACUUUAACCCAUACAAUUUGCUAUGCAUUAGGCGUGCACAAUAUCAAUAUUGAUAUGUCAAAGGAUUGUCCUUUCGGGACUUCAAUCCACAUCAUUUGCUACGCAACAGGCGUGCAUCAUAUUGAUCACUGCUAUACCCAUGUUAUAUUUUAUGGGACUUUAAUAUGUGCAGUGUAUUAUCAAUGUAUCCAACUUGCAAUCUGUAAAAUUUGCGUUAAUAAUUCAUGGAUACAUACAAGCCAUUCUUUUGGAACGGACUUAUCUCCCCAUUUGGUUACCUUUCAAGAUAAAAUAUCAAAUAAGUAUAUAAGCAUAAAAUAACACAAGUAUUGCUUACAUCCUUAGGUGGGAGAAACUUUUCUCAAGUAUCAUUCAAGCUCGUAUCGGCCCAGUAAAUAUAAUGUAGUGCUUGAUGAUCUAGUUAUAUCUUGCAAGGGCAAAAAUCACAAUUCUUCUCUCUGUCAAAAACAAAUAACCCUUAGAGUUAGGAUCACUGCAUGAAUUCUUUCUUCGGAUGUUCGUUCUAAAGAAAUAAAAUCCCUUAUAAACAGAGAGUUAUAAAAAGAAAGAAAUGAUACAAAAAUUGUGAUAUUGAUUGCAAGGUAAGGUAAGCAAUCAGGUGAGGAAGCUGAUGAGAGCAGACAACAAACUCUCAUUUCUCCUAGUCUAGAAGAACUUCAAGAGAUUAGGGCAUGUGGUCGCCUUCACAGUUCCCCGAUGUAGCGGAAACGUGAUCAGGGAUAGUCUCGCUUCAUGAAUGGAUGAUCAGAGAUAGUCUUGCUUCUUAAGCACAUUGAGUGCUCACUGAUAUGAAAAACAAGUGGAUAUCGCAUAUCUAGAUCUGCAAAGAAAAUUUCGUUAGUAACACAUUUAUACACAAAUAAGAGGAAUAGGUAGAACCGGUGAAUUUCAAAUUAACAAUAGGAAAAUUGCGAGAUUCUCGGGGUGCUUUUGACAAAGUAGCUCUGUGAAAUCCGCAAAGCAAGAUCGACUUUGACGAAAAUAAUACUUGAAAACGGCGAAAGAGCCGACAGACAUUAUUAGAGGCCGCGUGAAGUUUUGGAAUCUGGAAAAGAAAAAGAGAAUAUGGGGAUCUGAGAAGAUAUUGGGAUCUUGGAAAAGUUGCCACAUUUCCAUCUAUAGAUAUUGCUUAUACAAAACUUGAUUGGAGCAACUGCGUCUCAACUCAACUUCCUUCAUUUUCUGAAACUUUAGUUUUUCUAAGACUUUUUUCGAAACCUUCUUAAAAUGGCUUCCUCUUCUUCCUGCCCAAAUUAUUUCAAUUCAAAUAAUGCUCCCACAACAACCAGUGACGCCAAAGUUUGGCGUCCAUCCUUUGUAUUCCAAAAUCGUCAUCUCACAGUUAAUGAUUCUGUGAUGAUGAAUGAUGCUACUGUUGUCAUAGUAGCUAGGAAUUUCAUUACUCCAAUGGAUGAAAUACUGUUAACAAGAAGGUCUGAGGAAGAGGCUAUUGAUGACUCAAUGGCUUCUAGCAUUCAGAGUGCUGCUUCUGUUUCUAACAUGGCUGAUCGUUUGCGUGCCAGAGCAAACGAGGUUCAGAAGCUAACAACUGAAAAUUCCUCUCUUCAAAGAAUGCUUCAUGAGUCUCAACAGGAGGUUGAGAAACUUAAAGGAGAGAAUAAUGCCUUGUUGAAACUGGUGAGUUCGUACUCCGUUGAUACACUGAGAAGGCUAGACAUGUUGUACGUCUCCAAUGAAAGAAUUUUGGGAGACCACAAGAGGCUUAUGGCUAAGCUUAAGAGGCGCCGUCCUCUUCCUUCAGAGGCUUCCAGAACAUAAUGUAAUUUUAUAGAUUUUACAGGGUCUGCACCUUCAUUGCAGGUGGAAAAAAUCUAUCUGUUGUAUGCUCCUUUCCUAUUAUAAUAAUUGCGCACGUUCUUAAACUUGCACCUAUGGUUUUUACGUCUUUUCAAAAUGACGGUUUGGAACCUUGUGCCUUAUAGGUUCAAAUAACCACAUCGACUCUCCCAAAUUUCAUAUUUCAACGCAUGUGAGCCCGUAACUCCUGGCCCGGGCUAAACACAAACUCAAAAUUUAUUCGCCCUUUUCAAAUGGACAUGAAAUAUGGAUUGAGUAAAAGCCACGCUAAUAUCGCAAUAUAGUAGUGAAGAGCAUUAACUACUAUAUACCCACAACUUUAAGUUCAGGAUCUCUCAUAUAUUUGGGUCCAUGGGCUUCCGGCCCAAAUAUAACAAAAUAUGUGGGGAGCCUCAAUUCAUCAUUUGAGGUUUAUACUGAUAUUAUCCAUUUCACGGUGUAUUCUAAACAACCGGAAUUCACAAAAUAUAUUUCUUCCUUGAGGUGUCGAUUAUAACAGAAUCGAACUUUAUUAAAUUCAUCAUUCUCUUAUGCCAAAGAAAUAUGUGGCAUACCACAAUUUGCAAUAAUACCUCAAGGGUUGUCCAUUUAAUUGUUGGAACUUCAGGUUCUCAACACUGUUAGAUUUUGAACCUCAGGCCAAAAUCACAUAUUCUCAUGGUAUGGACAUUUUUACAAUUUUCUGUACAUAUUUCGGGACUUCAAGCCCUAACAUAAUUGUCCAUAUUUUGAGGAACUUCUGGCAUCUCAUUUAAUUGCUCAUCCAUGAGUUUAAGGAGUUGUAGGUUCCCUUUUGUAUAUAGUGACGGUUUACUCAAAAUGGUUAAUAUUUAUGUAUACGUCACUAUUCAUAUAUCCGGUACUAUUCAUCAAGUCAUGAAUACGUAUCUAUUCAUGUGUACAGUACAUUUGCCAGUACAGUUAUUAUCCAUGUGUAUGGCACUAUUAACCAAUACGGUACUGUUACAUCAUUAAGGAACCCCAGGUCCUUAUUUACAUGUUAGGGAUCAAGGACCCUCAAGUCCAAUCACAUGUUUUACAAAUAUAGUACCAGAGAGACUGCCAGCUCCUAUAUCAAUAUCAUCAUCAAGGAUCUUCAAGUCCUGAUGUAAUUGUAUGAUGAGGAUCAAGGAACUUCUGGUCCUGAUCUGUAUACUGAAAAAAACUCAUCAUACCACACAAUUAAUCCAUAAAAUAAAUUGCUUGUAAAUAAAUUACUGGUAAAUAAAUUACUGGUAUGGACGAUAAACCCGCACCAUACUUUAAAUAAAUGUAAAUGUGCGGUAAAAUAAAUUCAUAAAGUAUGAGGGUUAAUUCCACAUCAUACUUUAAGUAAAAGUAAAUUUGCGAUAAAGUAAACGUGCUUGUAUGGGCACUAAUUCUGCUCCAUACAUUUAAAUAAAAGUAAAGGCAUGGACGAUAAACCCGCGCCACCCUUUUAAAUAGAUACUGUUGUAUGGGCAAUAAUUCUGCUCUAUAUAAAAAUAAAGGCGUGGACGAUAAACUCGCGCCACCCUUUUAAAUAGAUACUGUUGUAUGGGUAAUAAACCUAUACUAUACAAUAAAUAAAAUAAAUGUGGGGAUAAAACCACCACCAAAAAUAUAAGAGGGUGAAACCGUCCAUAGAAUUACUAUAUAAAUAGAUUAUAUAAAGUAUAUAAUAGGCAAGCGAAGGAAACUAGUGCAUGAUAGAUAAAUAUCACGCUUGCUCUGCCUUUCCACUUGUAACCAGCACACCUGUACUAAUAUUGGUGUUAAAUAGUGUAGGAUAAUAAUGAAAUAAUUGAAAGAAUAAGGAGGCAGAGAGCUUUGCUUUAGCACUUCCCUGAGAAAGCUGUGUGGACGAGAACAAAAGGUACCAAUAAUCUUCAGCACCGAAAGCUGUGCCCCCUUUCGGUGUUGUUUCUUUUUUUUUGACCAAUUUUGCAAUCAAAGCCCAAGCAAAGCCACCCGCAUCUUCUUUUUCCCGUCAGUACUACUUGUUGUCAUUCAUGAACUUUGCAGAGGCCAAGGCGCUGGAAAUGAUGGAGCAAGAAGGGCUUCAAUUGCAUAAUUUCUCUCUCUAGUAAAGUGGGUUGCUGUAGUAGUGGGUUUUGGACUAUUUGGAGCUCUGCAUGGGUAGCCUUGAUCGAAGUGAUGCCAAAAGAGCUUGGCCAGCUUCCAUUAUUGGGGCUGGAAGUGUUAAAGACAGAGAGAGAGAGAGAAACAAAGAUCUGAGACAGUGGGAACAAAGCUUCACAGAAGCUAUAUUGAUACACAGAAGAGUAUGAGCAACUCAACCAAACCCAAGAAAGGAAACAAUGGAGAAGAGUACUUUGAUCGAAUAUCCCAGCUGGUAUUUUAGAGAUAUUUGUGCUGAUAACGUGUUAUAAAUCUAGAGGAAAUUGUAGAGAGGGAAUUGAGAUAUAGAGAAAGUAUAGAAACUGAUCUCUUCAUUGAAUGUUUGUUCUCAGUCAAUUAUAAUGAAGGGAGGAAGUCCACUUAUAGGCAAAGUUUCUUGGCUUCCCGUGAAUGUGUAAUGAUGUCUUCCCACAGUACUUUCAUCAUGAUGUUCUUCAAUCAAUUAGGUAGUGGACUCUACCAUUUUGGGAUCCAUCCUUGACUUUACAACACUUUCCCUAUUUUUCUUUUCUUUUCUUUUUGUCUACUGUAGCAAUCCUUUCCCUAUUGCCAAUCUCUUUUCCUGUACUCAAUUUUCAGUCAAAGUAGACCAAGAGAAUCAUUCAAGAGAGGGAGGGGCUGUGCGACACAGCCCCCUUUUAAAUUUUUUUUCUUCUGGCUGCCUUCCUUUUUUUUGUCUCUUUGCAACUAAACACAAAAAGCACAAGAAGAACAGGCCCUUUUCCGAAUAGGAUUAUGUGUCUCUUUUUUAAAUAGAUACAUUCGCACCACAGUAAACUAAGGCAAAGAACUCUUCUUUAUCAAACCAUAGACUUUACUUGAUCUCUGCUGCCAAUUAGAGAGAAUUCAUUCUGUUGUUUUGUCCUCCACGUGGUAGCAUCCCCAUGCAUCAUCCUCUUAUUUUCUUUCUUUAGUUAUUUUUUUAUUUUUAUUUAUUGAACUAACUUGGCUUUUGCAUGGGCAGCAACAGAAGACCUUAUUGUCAAUUGGGAGACUCUGGGAUUUUUCUUUGCAAGUGACGUGGAACCACAAAUCCCCUUGUUGUCAUUUGUUUGCAGUAACUUCCCAAGGUCAAUAACCAAAGAGAACCUUGAGACUAUCAAUUGGCAGGACUCUUCCUUAGAGUUCCACUUCACUUUGCCUUGCUCAUCGCCAACUACACACAAAGGAAAAAAAAAAAAAAACCCUCAUGCUUUCACGUGGUGAGUUCACAAACAAUAGUUUUCUCCUUUGCUUUAAUUGUUAUUUUGUCUUCAUAUCGUUUGAUCUCCAAGUAGUGAGCUUUAAUCAAAGACAAACCAAAUUGUCCCCUUGUGGUGGGAAAGCUUGGAAUUUCUUCAUGGGUAAUUACAUGAAUUACCUGCCUUUGAUUUUUUUUGUUUGUUGUCCAUCUCAUGAUGAACAUCAUUUAACGAUUUUGGCUAUUGUGGCUCAACAGUAAGAGGAAUCCAAAGAAUUCUAGGAUUUCAUCUAUGUCUUUUGAAAAGCGUUGUACACCAUUUUGGGUUUUGUGAUGGCUUGCCCACCAUGACAAGCAAUUCUCACGGAUUGCUUGUGAAUUGGAUAUUGAACACAUAUUGGAAGCAUUUAAUUGGAGUUGAUCAUCAUGGAAGAAAAUCUUCCCUGUUGGUUAUGGCAAUAUUUGAGCAGAGCCAUGCGUUAGAGAGAUCCCUGACUUUUUUUUUUUAUGAUGAUAGAAAUCAUCAUAGCCAGGAACAUCAAAACCUAGAGUUGUGAGCAAACAAGAAAACUGUGCCAUAGAACUAUGAUUUUACCUUGAGAUGGCUUUUGCUUUCCCUAGUGAGCUUGCUGUCUUUUUUUCUUCAUGCGGCUGCUCAUUGUUCUGCUUUUUCUGUUUUUUUCUUUUUGGUCGCAGGCAUGGCUCUUUUAUAGGCCCUAAGUCUAGAGGAGUUUAAGAUUGAGUGAACCAUCACUCCUUGGCCUUAGUGUUUGAUAGAAACACUCUAAGUACAACCGUUGCAUCAAAGGAACUUUAUUCCUUCUAAACAUAUGCUGGAUGAAUCAUUGUUAUUGUCAUUCACCUUUAAUCAAUUUCCACAUAGGCAGCCAUCCCCCCCUUUUUUCCUUGUGCCUUAUUUAUUUCAUAAAGAUUAUCAUUUCAACAGGCUCCAUUGAGUUUGUACUCUGGAAGUAGCUUGCCUACAAUGGAAGUAAGGCUUGUCGCCUACAUGCGUAUGUCGGGCACAUAGCUUCUCGAAAAAGACUCCAUUGAGUUUGUACUCGGGAAGUAUCUUGCAUACAAUAGAGGUAAGGCUUGUUACCUAUGUGCAUAUGUCGGGGACAUAUCGCUCGAAAACGACUCCAUUGAGUUUGUACUCGGGAAGUAAGUUGCCUACAAUGGAGGUAAGGCUUGUCAAUGCGUGUGUAUGUCAGGGACAUAGCUUGAAAGAGGCUUCAUUGAGUUUGUACUCGGGAAGUAGCUUGCCUACAAUGGAGGUAAGACUUGUCACCUACGUGCGUAUGUCUAGGACAUAACGCUCUAAAAAGACUUCAUUGAGUUUGUAUUCGGGAAGUAGCUUACCUAUAAUGGAGGUAAGGCUUGUCGCCUGCAUGGAGCUGAGCUAGUAAGCUGCAACUCGAACAAUGGCCUUCUUGUUGUAGUAAGAUGUGAGUUGUUGCUGAUAGGCUACAACUCGAACAAUGGCAUUCUCUAGUUCUUCUUCAAGCAGAUCAAGGUUAACUUCAUCUACUUGCAGUUUUGGUCAAGACUACCCACCUCAAUGCUCAUGAAAGGGACUGUGAUGUGUGAGGAGAUGAUUGCUUCUGUCCCAUAGGCCAAGGAAAAUGGUGUCUCGUCGGUGGAUUUCCUUUUGGUUGUGCAAUAUGCACAUAGGACUCCUGGCAGCUCGUUGACCCAUUUUCCUUUUACACCUUCUAGUCUUUUCUUUAGGCAGUUCAACACGAUCUUGUUAGAUGCCCCUGCUUAGCCAUUACCUUGAGGGUAUCUGAGAGUUGACAAGUGUUGUUUGAUGUCAUACUUUACAAAGAAUGCGGUGAUCUGCCUGCCCACGAUCUGUGUACCAUUUUCGUUGACUAUCGAUUGCGAGCAACUGAAUCGGCAAAUAAUGUUCUUCCAGAUAAACCGUUCGACAUCAGCUUCUUUGGUAGAAGAUAAAGCCUCGGCCUCGAUCCAUUUGGUGCAGUAGUCGGUGGCGACGAUCAUCAUCUCCUUCUUGGCAGGUGCAUUUGGCAUAAGGCCCACUGUAUGAAUGACCAUGAACUGUUUUGUGGAUGGUAUAUCUUGGCUGGCAGGCCAGGGAUUGGCUUGUAGCGUUGGCAUUGAUUACAUCUUCGAGAAUAUUUCGUGAAGCCUUAUUGCAUGGUAGGCCAGAAAUAGCCUAUACUAAGAGCCUUCUGAGCAAGUGAUCUGCCUCUAGCAUGAUUCCCACAUUCGUCGUUAUGUAUUUUACAAAGAACCUCGAGCGUUAGCGUGUACUUGAUACAGGUAAGAUGAGGGACAGUGUAUGAUCUGCGAACAAGCAUGUCGUCUUUCAUGUAGUAUCUCGCAGCUUUCUAUUUGAUUUUUCUGGCCUCGGAUUUUUCCUUAGUCAAGUGUUUGUUCACCAAGUAGUUAAUGAUGGGAUCUUGCCAGUUAGGAUCCUCAUCAAUAUGCAUAAAGUCCUGCUGCUCUGCCUUUUCUAUGCUUGGUUGGUCAAGGUGCUCGACUGGGAUGGAGCAUUUGAACUGGAUAUCCAGCGCUGAUCCUAGGCUUUCCAAUGCGUCUGCAUGCUUGUUCUCUGCUCGAAAAUGCCUUCAACAACUCUUGUACUUUGUCAAGGUACAAGAACAUUCUUGGGUGCUUUGUCAUGUAUUCUCCUGAGGCUUAAUUUGUGAUCAGUUGGGAAUCUAAGUAGAUGACUAGCUUCUUGAUUGAUAGAUCCUUUGCUAAGCACAAGCAAGCAAGUGCCUCAUAUUAUGCCUCGUUGUUUGAGGCUGGGAAGCUAAGCAUGAUAAUUUGCUCCAACAAGGUUUCAUCCGGGGUGAUGAUGAUGACACCUACUCCAGCUUCUUUUUCAUUCGAUGCUCUAUUUGUGUAACUGCCACAUGCCUUUAGGUUGGUAAGGUUCGGCGGUGGUUUUGUCUGCUCUCGAACUUUCCUUCUUUUUGUUGACCAGCUUCUCUACUUCGGCCGAUGGUGUGAAUUCUGUAACAAAAUAUGCUAAAUCUUGGGAUUUUACUACAGUCUUCUACUGGUAGAGGAGGUUGUAUUGGCUUAGCUAUAUAGUCCACUUCAUGAGUCGUUGAGAAGCAUCAAGGCUGUGAAGGAUUGAUCUCAAAGGAAACUCAGUCAUAACGAUGACUCUGUGAGCUUAGUAGUAGGCUCGCAGCUUUAUCGCGAAAACUACAAGAGCCAAAAUAAGCCUCUUCAAUUUUGAAUAGCGAACCUCUGCAUCGAGGAGAGCUUUUGACAUGUAGAAUACCCGAUGUUGGCCCCCAAGUUCUUCUCGGAUGAGAGCUAAGCUUACAGCCUAGUUGGAAACUGCCAGGUACAAGAACAAGUCUUCACCAGGAACUGGCUUUGAGAGCAGGGGAGGUGAAGUGAGGUAAGUCUUUAGAUUCUGAAAAGCUACUUCGAACUCCUCGUCCCACUUGUCUUUUUGUCCUUUCUUCAAAGCUUUGAAGAAUGGUUUGCACUUGUCGGUAUAUCUCGAGAGGAAUCGAUUGAGGGCUACUGCUCUGCCCAUUAAACUUUGUGUUUUUUUUCUUCACUAUUCAAGGUGAAUUCAUCUCGAGAAUGGAUUGGGUAACCCAGGACUCAACAGGAUGAUCACCGAACGUGCUUUGAUGUGGUCUGCAAGCUCAGGGGCUUUGACUAGCUUGUCGUCCACGUAAACUUCCGUGGUUUUGCCUAUCUGCACAUUGAAAAUUUUAUUCAAAAGCCUUUGGUAGGUUGCUACGGUGUUCUUCAGCUCAAAGGGCACGACCUUGUAGUAGUAGGUCCCUCUCUCGAUGAUUAAAGAAGUCUUUGCCUUGUCAUUCUCGUGCAUUGUGAUUUGAUUUUAGAUAGAGUAUGAGUCCAUAAAGCUGAGCAGCUGAUUGUCGAAAGUUGAAUCUACGAGCUAGUCGAUUCUCCGUAAUGUGAUGUUGUCUUUAGGGCAUGCUUUGUUUAGGUCGGUGUAAUCGAUACAAACUCUUCAUUUGCCCUUUUAUUGUUUCGCCACCAGAACAACGUUGGCUAGCCACUCUAAGCAGAAGACCUCUUCGAUGAAGCUGGUAGCUAGGAGCUUGUCGAUCUCAGCUAGGAGCCACUCUGAGUAAGAGACCUCUUCUAGGCCACUGGCUUGUUAGCAAGGUUGACAUGGAGUCAGUGGCAUGACGUUUGAGUCAAUGCCAGGCAUUUCAAAUGGCGGCCAUGCGAACAUGUAUUUGUGUUAACUCGUUUUGAUUUUAAUCCUGUGAUGGUAAGGUAAGGUUUCCCAUUGGCUUGACAACCAUUAGUGGUCAACAAGUCAACUUUCUUUUGUAUAUGAGCGUGCCACUACUAGCAAUGAAAACCCUAGCAGACUUCUUAAAAAUAAAUAACUUUUGCCCCAAGUUAUUGAUUGCUAAACAAGCGGUUGUGAAUUUGGGUGAGGAAUAUAUCCCAAGUAAGUUCUUUUCUUUGCCUCAGAUUGGUGAGGACUUCAUAAUUUUUCACAGUACAAAAUGGGUAGUUCUGGCCAGAAUAGACGAAAGGAAGACAAACUGUUUUAGGCAGAACUGCCUAUUACAGGACUCAAAAAUGAAAUGACAACUCCGAAGCAAAACAACAGGAUGUUGGACUUCAAAUUCUACCUGGAUAACUACCUUUGAUCUGGACUGGACUGGGUAUGUCUCUGCUGGAUUGGACUAUCAACACCUUCAACUAUCAAGUUUCAGCUAUAAAUCGAGUUUGGCAGAGCUUUAAUCUAUUUCAAGCCCUGGAAGGCUUUUUGAACGGGCAGAAUUGGAGACUCUUCAGUCUGGAAGGGGCAAAAGUGGCUGGAUUUGAUGAUUACUAAGCUGGAACUGUACUGUAGUACCUGUUCUGCUUGAUCAGGGCUUUUCAUAAAUUUGUUGAGGUUUUUAUAUUUAUAAAAAGCCGGACUCUGCUUGAUUUGGCUUAUGCUGAACCAAAUUUGUAACGAGAGAAAUCUCGCUUUGUAGAACUAUUUCUCUGAACUGAGCUGAAAUAAGAGAUUUUGACUUAUAACUGACUUAUUUCUUGUGGCUCAAUGAGCUUUGGUUGCUUCAGUGUUUUGUAGGCUUUUGAGAUCGAGUGAUCAUUUUGAGUUUGUCAAUUGCGACUUUGAGAGUUUUUGUUUUUUGAUUGAUUUUUUGGUUGUCUUUGAUCUGUUCACCUCCUCUCAUAUUUAUAGAAAAUGCUAGAGUGGGGCUUCUAAUCUUUUAAUAAUGGGCGGCAAAUUUUCCAAAAGAAAGAUCUUUUGUUUUAAAUACCAAGAAAAAGGGGAAUUUGAUCUAUUCUGGCAGAAAAGGCUAUCAAUAGUCAGUUCUUAUGGUGAUUACUUCCCUACCUUUCCUGAAAAGAAAAUCUAAUCCCUUAUUCUUCAACUGCCCUUUGUAAGAAUGCAAUCUGCCAUGAUGGUUAGUUUGCUUUUUCUGAUGAACAACUCCCUGCUUAUCUUCUCAGAAAAUGUAGUCUGCUUAUCCCUUGGAAAUGAUACCUGCAGAAUUUUUUUGAAUAUAGAAAAGCAUUUUGAUUUUUUUGGUUGAAAAGAUUUAGAGAAGUCUUCCUUUUAUACCUGCCUUCAUUAAUUCUCUAUCAACUCCUUUGUGAUAGUUGAGAUUUUUGACUUUUUCAAAGUUCAGGACUUCACGUGGGGCUUCUUUUAAAAAAGAUCUGUUGUUUGUUGCUUUUUUGGGAUAGAGACCAAGUGAUAAGAUCUUUCUCAAAAGUUGGGCUUUUUAUCCAAAACUGUGUGUAUCAUUUCUUUGGUUACAAAUAAUAGGAUUUUACUCUCUUCAGAUCAUGGCUGUAUUUGUAAAAAGGGUCUGGGCUUUUCCAGUGUCUUGGGGUUUUUUCUUCUUCUGAUUCCUGUAGAUGAAAGCCCAAAUGUUUGGCUCAUGGGCCUCUCGACAAAAAUAGACUGGUGUGCAAAGUUUUGGUCCAAACACAAGAUGAAUUUUGGUGGUCGCUAAAAAUGGAAUAGGCUUCUUUAAUUUUGGGCUGAUAAUUUAAUUUCUUCAAAACAUGGAGCCUGAAAUUGUUUAUCUUUAUGGGCCAAUAGUUUUUGGGCUGGGCGUGCAGAAUUUAGGCCCAAACAAUUUGUUGUUAUGAAGAAAGGUGGUCAGCUCCACCUUCUCGUUUGGGCUUAGGAGCGAGCCGAUCAGCGCUUUUCUAUCUGGCUGGCUAGGUUCAAGGGUACUAAUCCAGCACCUUCUGCAUGCUCCCAACCUUCUUCAAGGGAGCCUUCUGGGUGGAUCCCUUCAUCUCGAUCCUUCUCGUUUGGGUUAUGGCGCUAGCCAAUCUAUGCUUCUUUGUCUGGCGGGCCAGGAUCAAGGGGUACUAACUCAACAUCAUCCUCAGAUUUCCUACCCUUUUCAGAUGAGUCUUCAAGGCAUAUUCCCUCGCCUUAAUCCUGGCUCCUUUAUUGCUAUUGUGAGGUAGCAACUUUCUUCCAAUCAAUUUUUACCUCUUAUUAUAGUGUGUGCUUCCGGAGGAGUACGCAUGCAAGAAGGAAGUUUGAGCUUGAUGCAAAUGGCUAAAAUAUCUUUUGCUUUAUAUGAUUAUCAAUCAAAUAAAAAGUUAUUUUAUGUAUCAAUCCUUACAUCCCCUACCACAGGUGGGGUGACGGCCAGUUUUGGUAUGUUGGGAGAUAUCAUUAUUGCCGAACCCAAUGGCAGCCUACACUAUUGGUGCAACUGCUUGUUCUUCUUGAGCUCUUGGGCUAUGCAUCUCCUCGCCAUAGUUUGGUCACUAUUGAUCUGCCCAGGAUUCCGUUGUUAGAGCAGACCUCGUCGAUGACCAUGAAGGUUUGCAAGCAAACCACCGAAGGUGAGUGGAUGUCAAGUUCAAUCAUUCCCAAAGUUAUUGAUGUAGCCCCAUUGAAGCCGAUAAGUGGUCUAGCAAGUUUGUUAAGGGCUCCAAUCCCAUCUAUUGGAUAAUAGAUAGUUGCAGGAUGUUGGCUGCGCUGCCCUCGUCCAUGUGAACUUGCUCGAUCACAGCUUGUUCAAUUUGGAUGCAGAUGACUAGGGCGUGAAAUAUGCAGCAGAUCAAGCCUUAGAUAUACCUCAACCCUUGAUGUAGCCAUGUAUUUAUAGGAGCCUCGGAGGUUAGGGUUUCGGAAGAAUAAUUCCAUAGAUGGAAAGGAAUUAUUCUUCCUCCAAUUUGGAGAAAUUGAUUUAAUUAGGGUAAGAAUCAAAUAAUUCCCAUAUUGAAUAGCUUAAUUAUUUGACCUACGAUCCAUAGAUAUUUUUCUUCCACAAUAUGCGUAAUAUGAUAGAUUACUAUUUAGUACAGUCAAUACAUAAUUCAACCAGAGACACAGGGUAAGGAGAAUAAGCAUAUUACUUAGCUAUUACACAACACCUGCUUAGCAUCUUACAGUAAAAAUGAAAAAGCUGGUACAGAAACUUGCGAGCCAUAUAUAUGUUCAGGACAAGCAUCUCCCAAAAAUCCGACCCUACUUGCAACAGCGGAGCACAAAAAACAAGUUCAAGUAAAGAAACCACCAAAAGAAAAAAAAAAUGAUCAAGUUUGAAGUAGAUGUUCGUAGAAUCAAGAACCUAAACAAAAUGAAAUAGUCGCAAAAUUACAUAAUUAGAACCCUCUUACCUACAACAAAUGCAAAAACAAACCAAAAACAGAAAUAAACCAGAAAAACUUGCCAUUUUCUAGUAGCAAAACAAAUGCCAAGUAAGGUUAACUCGAAGAGCGCAAAAUGAGUCCAACAAGAGUGAUUUGGCCAACUAAAUGAAAAAAAUUUAAUGAACCCAUGUCUGUGUAGUGUGUAGUUGAAAACAACUUCUUUGGAUGACAGCCUGAAUUUGAAAAUAGCUAGCACCUCAGUAAGCAAUUAAAAAUAUUUGCUACAGAAGAAGUCAGAAAUGCUAGAGAAAAGUAAAAUGAAAGAAGCAAACUAAACUAGGAUUUAAAAGAAACUAAACCGUUAUUUGUUAUGACAGGAGAAUUUAUAGCAUCACAUAGCUUGAGAUUUGUUUCAUUUUCCCUUUUUUUUUUUUUUUUAACUUCUUUAAAUAAGUGUACAAAAAGAACUGUUUGCUAGAGCCAUAAUUAUAUUAGCAUAGCAGGCUGCCCUAGUCUGUGAAUAGCACCAGCAAAGGAAUCUUGUCUAAAUGUCAAAAAAUACAAGGAAAUAUACAGUAUACUCUUCUCACAGAAGCAUACUCAAUCCAUAGGUAUGUCCAUUGUCAAGCCCCUCCGCAAUAUGGUCUUGUAAACUGUACGUCCUCAUGAAUGGUCAUUGUCCUCAUCAACAAUCAUUGUCUACACCUACGUCCUCAUGUAAGCUGAGAACCAUCUUCUGCUUGGGCUUGGAUUUUACCUUCACCCUUAUUGUUACCCAGUGACUGAAGGACCAGUAGCACCGUAAUAGGUUAUAGGCUCUAGUAAAUUAUAAGGCAAUUGAUUAAAUGGAAAAUUCUACAGUCCUUUGGUGUACCCAUACACCAAGGGAUAUUGACCUUUAGAUUUAAACAAAAUAACAAAGGCAAAUCUACACCAUUGGAUGAGAUAACUUGAAAACCUACUUAGUAGGUUGAAAGAAAAUCCCCAACCCAACCUGUCAAAACCUAGGCCUUCGCUUUCACUUCCUUCAUCUUAGCAGCCACCAACCAGCCAAUCACCAACCGGCAACCAUUGACGACGACGAUAAUGGUGAACACCACCUUCUCUUUACCGCCCAUCUCUCUCGCUCUCUCCUUCGCUGACCCAUAGUUCCCCAUACUCAUAUAACCAUAAAUUCUUUUCUCAAUCUCAUUAGCAACCACCACUAAUUCAUUCAAUCUUACAUUGGUAAGCACCUAUAGGGGAAUUCAACUCAGUUCUAUUUUUGGUUGUUUAUUUGAUAUGUUUUCAUUGGGAUCGUAAUAGAUUUUUGGUUCCAUUCACGCCAAUAAAGUGACGUAUAUUGUAGUACUUCCACUAUAUAUAUGGUAUAGGUUUUUAUGUACGAAAUGUGCAUUACUACCAUAUUAUUCAUGUACUCCCCUAAUGUUUGGCAUGACACAUUUCAUUGGUGUUAUUUUUUACCUAUGUUAAAGUUUUGAUACAUUAAUAUUUAUAUCUUUUUUUUUAAUGAUAUUUCCUUUUGAUUUUGCAUCAUUAAAAUGAAUAGAUGCAAUAAAUGCCAAUUUUUUUAUUAUUUUUUUUUAAUCUUUAGGUGCUUAAUUAUGAAGAUACAUGGAAAGUGACAAUAAUCAAAUGGUAAAGGUGGUUUGGCAAUUGCCAAACAAGGAGCGUAUAAUUGACAACCAAGGAGCAUCCAAUUGCAUACUAAUAUGCAAUUGCAUUUUAAGUAACUACUAAUUAGUAUUACUAAUAUUCAUGACAAUUUGAGUACUUGACAAACAAGGAGUGUGUAAUUGACAACCAGGGAGCAUCUAAUUACAUGCUAAUAUGCAAUUGCAUUUGAAGUACAAUCUUAUAACUUACAAGUUUAGGGAUCCGGUUUACGACGUUAUAGGAUUAUUAUAUCCAAAACAUUGUAACAUCUGUCCUGACUCUUGUAAACUUUUGUGUUUACUAGAAUAAUGGCCACUUUUCACAUCACAAAGGUCCAACCUUAUCAAUUCUUUGUAAUGUGGAUCCAUAUUCUUAUAAAAUAAGGAUUUACAAUGUUAUGGAUUUGAUGAGUUGUAAUCUUAAUGCAAAAACUUGUAAAUCGCUAUCCACAUCUUGUAACUUCUAAGUUUUGGGAUCCUGUUAUAGUGUUAUGGUACCCUUAUAUCCAAAAUAUUGUAACAUUAGUCCUUAAUCUUGUAAACUCUUGUGUGUACUAGAAUAAUGACCCCAUUUUACAUCCUCAAGGUCCACACUUAUCAAUUCCUUAUAAUGUGGAUACAUAUCCUUGUAAAAUAAGGAUUUAUAAUAUUAUGGAUUAUGUGAACCCCUAAUGUGGUAACCCUUGUGCCAAAACCUGUAAUUCGCUAUUCAAAUCAUGUAACUUACAUGUUUAAGGAUCAUUUUUACAACUUUAUGGUGCCCUCGUAUUCAAAACAUUAUAAAAAAGGCCCUUAAAUCUUUUAAACCCUCAUUUUACUAGAAUAAGGACCCCAAUUUAUAUCUUCAUGGUCCACAUUUAUCAAUUCAUUGUAAUAUGGAUCCAUGUCCUUGUAAAAUUAGGAUUUACAACAUUAUGGAUUUGAUAAACCUUAACUCUGUAAUUCCCGUCCCUAUAUUUGUAAAUCGCGACCCAAAUCUUGUAAUGUACAUGUUUAUGGAUCCACUUUGCAACAUUAUGGUACCCUGGUAUCCAAAAAAUUGUAAAAUCGGCCCUUAAUAUUGUAAACUCUCAUUUCACUAGAAUAAGGACCCCAAUUUACGUCUUCAUGGUCCAGACUUACCAAUUCUUUGUAGUAUGAUUCAAUAUCCUUAUAAAAUAAGUUCCCUCGACUCUGAAGCUAGUGAGCUCCCAAAAUACCUUGUGCUAGAUGGAGGCAGACAUGCACAUAUAAGGCACAUCACCUCCUCUCCAUUAGUCGAUGUAGGAUGUUAUAAUUCUCUUUACAACGUUAUAGUACCCUCGGUCCUUAAGCUUUUAAUAAAAUUGUUUAUUAGAAUAAUGACCUAUUUUACAUCGCUAAGGUCCACCAUUACCAAUUCCUUGUAACGUGGAUCCAUGCCCUAUAAAAUUUCGAGUAUUUUAGUUGAAAUUGUAUAUAUUAUAUGUAAAUAUCAUAUUUAUGUAUUAUUUAUUGAUUAUAAAAUGCAAUAUAUAUUAUUUAAGUAUUAAAUUAUUAGAUAUUUUUAUUUAACAAUUUUUUUAUUGAUCGGAUGUGAACCAAUAUAUUACGAGGAUAUGAACCAAAAACUAGAGAAGGAUUAUAAGGGAACUUUUUGUAGGAAGAUGCUAUGAGUUAUCUUCAAAAAAUAAUAUAUUUUUUUGGUUAUAAGGCAUUUGUUUAAAGUUGUUUUUAGAAUAAGCACGUAUACAUAUAUAUAUUUAUUUAAUAAUAUGUCAUCUUGAGAAAUAAUUAUAGUGUGGCUUCAGAGUCUGGUCAUAUAAUAUUUAUUAUAAUAUAAGUUGAUAUUUAUUGAUAUUAUGUCUUAAAAGUUGAAUAUCUUAUCAUGAUUGAUAUUAUAACACAUGAACAAAUUAUAUUAUGUAGUCGUAUUUUAGUUAUAACAAAACAAAAAAAAAUCAUUUAGAUGUUCAAAAAUUAUUUUUGGUUACCAAAAAAAAAAAAAACAAUUUCAGUUUGGCUAAUUGAAUUUAUAUAAAGCUACCCAAGUUUAUUGUUUUUGGUUACAAGUUAUAUAAAGCAACCCCUAACUCAUGAAUCAUAAAAAAAAUCUACAAGUGUAGGAAAUAAUUGUAACAACAUUGUGGUCCACCUUAAUCCAUAACACUGUAAGACCCUAAUUUACAAAGAAAAUGUCACAUAGUACCAAUAAGAAUGGACUUUGGAGGAGUAAAAUUUGUGUUAUUAUCCUUGUAAACACAACUGAAAAUCUUGUAAUCUACGAGAAAACUUGUAAACUUUCUAAUUUUAUACUCAUUUUUCUUGACUUUUAAUCCUAACAAUGUUAUAAAAUCCAUGGGGGUUAGGAAAAGAAUAUAAAUUUAUAAUACUUCUUGGAUGUCUACAAAAGUACAGCUAUGUAACAUAGAGUUCAACAAUUAAUAUAGUUCUUAUUUUAGAAAUUGAUUUCAACCAAUUACAUAAACAAAACUCGAGGUGAAAAAAUUUGAUGGAUAAAGACUUUCAAACUUUCAAAUAAAUGUUGAUGCGCAUUCACCAAUUCUAUGAAACAAAAAUUGAAACUAUCAACCUCAAUUAAAUUUUAAAACCUAGCAUAAAAUAUUGAGGAAUUACCACAACUAACCAUCAUAAUUCAUAUAAAUAAAACCAGCAACUCAUAAUGAAUGUCAUUGUGAGUCAAAUAGAAUAAAUUCAAUUGAAAAAUAACAUGCCAAAUCAUAUGCCAAUUGACAAACAGAGAGGCCAUGAUUGCAUGACCUUUAUGCAAUUGCAUUUGCAUUAAAUAUUAAUAAAAGAUGGAAACUGGAGCACUUGUAUAACCGGUAACCAAUUUAAAAAAAAAUCUGGGCACAUCAGUGUGCAUUAUAGACGUUCCCUUGAUUGAACAUCCAAAUGGAAUGUAAGCAUUGGUAAAUCUCUGCGAAAACAAAAAUAUUCCAGCAUAGUUUAAACAAACAAAAACAAGAUGAAACAAAUUACAAAAACGUUGAUAAACCAAAAAGGUAACAUAUUGCAGAAACUAAGAUUUCAUCUUCAAUAAACACUAGCUCUCUGAGUCAGACUAGGCUUCUACUUUCUCCACAUCUUCAAUGAGAAGGGGCUUGGUUGGCCUUCCCAACAGGUCUGUGAACUCUUGGAACGGAGAUUUGCUGAAGCGUGUCUCUUUCCAGAAUUCAGGGGUCAGAAAACCGUAAGUCUUCAGGAGGCAAUCGAAAGUAGCCUGCAAAAAAUGCAUUCACAUAAAUGAUUAGAUACAACGCAAAUAAUAUGAGAUUCAAGUACCACUUAGUUCGGUCUAGUUAAAUUACAUCUUUAACUGAGGAAUUCAACCCAAACUGAAGGGUGGCGAUUAUAAAUUUUCUUUGUACUGAAGGCAAUAGCAAAUCAAGAACUAAAAUGACUACCAAGGAGCAAACUAUAUAGCAUAAAGAACAAUUGACACUCAGGGUCAAGAGGAAAGCUACUCAUUUCAAUCCGUUCUACAUUGAAAUCACAGGUCCACCCUAAACUUAACAUAUUGGUUCACAGAAGUCCUAUCUUGAAGAAGCUCUGCAACAUCACCAAUCAAAUUUAUAUAUUUAUUUAAUGCUCAUACUUCAGAGUCGGGCUGCCAGGAUCAUCAGAGGGGCCAAGGGUCAGACCUUCCAAAUCCAUUUACCAGCCCAACCAUUAAAAAGUUUUCAAAGCCCGACUACGCAAAGAAUUAGAAUUUAGUGCUAUCUUGUUCAAAAAUAUUAAUGCUUCAACCGCACUUCAUGUCAAAAUGCCACUUCCAUAAUUUCCACAACCACAAGAUGCACUAAAACUUUUUGCAUUCAUGCAUCCUCAAUCAUGCUAACACACACAAACUAAAACUGUU